rnacentral:rRNA from 1 species
GAUGAACGCUGGCGGCGUGCCUAAUACAUGCAAGUCGAGCGAACGGACGAGAAGCUGCUUCUCUGCUGUUAGCGGGGGACGGGUGAGUAAACCGUGGAUAACCUACCUAUAAGACUGGGUUAACUUCGGGAAACCGGAGCUAAUACCGGUUAAUAUUUUUAACCGCAUGUUUCAAAAGUGAAAGACGGUCUUGUUGUGACUUAUAGAUGGAUCCGCGCUGUAUUAGCUAGUUGGUAAGGUAACGGCUUACCAAGGCAACGAUGGAUAGACGACCUGAGUGGCUGAUAGGCCACACUGGAACGUAGACACGGUCCAGACUCCUACGGGAGGCAGCAGUAGGGAACCUGCGGCAAUGGGCGAAAGCCUGACGGAGCAACGCCGCGUGAGUGAUGAAGGUCUUCCGAUCGUAAAACUCUGUUAUUAGGGAUGAACAGAUGUGUAAGUAACUGUGCACAUCGUGACGGUACCUAAUCAGAAAGCCACGGCUAACUACGUG